GGUUCAGGAUGAACGCUAGCGACAGGCCUAACACAUGCAAGUCAGGGGCAGCACAAGGAGCAAUCUGAGGUGGCGACCGGCGCACGGGUGAGUAACACGUAUGCAACCUGCCUGUAAGCGGGGAAUAACCCGUUGAAAGACGGACUAAUACCGCAUAAUACUAAAUUACUGCAUGGUAAUUUAUUUAAACAUUUAUGGCUUACAGAUGGGCAUGCGCAUGAUUAGCUAGUUGGAGAGGUAACGGCUCCCCAAGGCAACGAUCAUUAGGGGUUCUGAGAGGAAGGUCCCCCACACUGGUACUGAGACACGGACCAGACUCCUACGGGAGGCAGCAGUGAGGAAUAUUGGUCAAUGGACGAGAGUCUGAACCAGCCAAGUCGCGUGCAGGAAGAAUGUUCCCUAUGGAUUGUAAACUGCUUUUGCAGGGGAAUAAAGUGCAUCACGUGUGAUGUUUUGUAUGUACUCUGCGAAUAAGGAUCGGCUAACUCCGUGCCAGCAGCCGC
rnacentral:rRNA from 1 species